UGUUAUCAAACUCGUCAAACAACGCAAGGUAACAGGAAGGAAGAAAGAAAUAAAAUAAAUAAAAGUACCUAACUUCCUAUUUGCGAAUGCAGUAAUAAUCUGGUAAAAGUUUAGUUUACAUAAAUUGAAAAAUUAUAAGUUUACCCGAAUAAAAAAUAUUUUGUUACAAAAUACAUGUAGACACCUACCUAAUUUUUAUAUUUUUGUGUUUGUUAUGAGGAUUUUAGAUUAGGAAUAAAAUACAUGUGUCAUCGAUGUAUUUGACCAAACAUAUUUCACAAAAAUAAUGAGUGAUGAGUCGAAACAUGGAAACAAUGAAACAGGCAGCAACCGAGAUGCACAGAUUGAUUUAUUCAACCUGAUUGCGGGCAGUUGGCCGCCUGCACCACGAGAGCCCGAGCGCUCUGAGUAUGGCUCUGUGCCUAGGAGCCACAGACGAACUAUGCAGCGCUCACCACAAAAUGAACGAGUGAAAUCUUUGAAUCUGAUCGCGCACCUGGCUCCAGAGCGUCGUCGCAAGACCACGCACGCGACACUCACCACCACAGCUGAAGAAUCACGAUCAAAGACCAAAAUGGUCCAAGAGCCCAAGAAAGUUGAGACAGGCAUCCUUGUUGAUGUUUGCGGAAGCGAUGUCCCCGAAGAACAUUACGACUCGCCAGCGUUGGGGUCGCCGCGGCCGGUGGCGCCCUCUAGGUCGUCCCCGCUUCAGUUGCAGGAAGACAUUGGCGUUGGAUCGCUAGUCGAAGUGGCUACCGAUGUUGAUCAACAUUACUAUGGCGUUGUCCGGUGGAUCGGAAUGAUUGAUGAGACGAUGACUGCGGGCGUGGAGCUGGAGGAGAGCGUGUGCGGUCUGGGCGACGGCAGCCGCGGCGGCGCGCGCGUGUUCUCGUGCGCGCCGGGCCGCGCGCUGUUCGUGCCGCUGCCGCUGUGUCGCCGCGACGCGCGCUUCCGCGACACGCCGCCGCCCGACGCCGCCGCCACGAAUCACGACCACGACGAUCAACAGCCAGAUUGCCCAGUGGUGCCGGGCGUGGUGCCCCCGCUGAGUUCCCUGGGGGCACUGGCCGGCAAGAACCGCGGUAUCCAGGGGCACCACAACUCCUGCUACCUAGACGCAACCCUCUUCGCCAUGUUUACCUUCACUAGUGUAUUCGACGCGCUGCUUUAUAGACCGCCGGAGCCAGAGGACUCUCCCCACUAUGCAGAAGUGCAGCGCGUACUACGAGAAGAAGUGGUGAAUCCUCUGCGAAAGCACGGCUACGUCCGGGCUGACCGCGUGAUGAAGCUGCGGACGCUACUCGAGCGCCUGUCCUCUGUGCCCGGCCUCACCUCCGAGGAGAAGGAUCCGGAGGAAUUUCUAAACGGUUUAGUAGCACAGUUGCUAAGGGCCGAGCCCUUCCUCAAGCUGUCUUCAGGACAAGAGUCCUUCUGCUACCAACUGUUUGUGGAGAAAGACGAACAAGUGUCACUGCCAAGCGUGCAACAGUUGCUGGAACAAUCCUUCGCCACAUCUGGAGUUAAACUUAGUGAGGUACCAGCAGCGUUUAUAAUCCAAAUGCCGAGGUUUGGCAAGCAGUACAAGCUGUACCAGAGAGUGUUGCCUUCGCCAUUGUUAGAUGUCACAGAUCUCAUUGAAGGCUUGCCGCGGCAGUGCACGGUGUGCGGUUCGCUGGCGCGCUGGGAGUGCGGCGCAUGCGCGCGCGGCGCGGCGCUGGAGGCGGGCGCGCUGUGCGCCGCUUGUCUGCGCGUCACGCACCACGACCGACACGACCACAAGGCAACCCCGCUGGCGGUGAGCGACGAGUGGGCCAACAUGUUGGAGACGUGCGGGGUGCCGCGCGUGUUCAUGGAGCUGUUCGCGGUGCUCUGCAUCGAGACCAGCCACUACGUCGCCUUCGUCAAGGCCGGCGUGGGCCACGACGCGCCUUGGUGUUUCUUCGACUCUAUGGCUGAUAGGAAAGGCGAGCGUCACGGAUAUAAUAUUCCGGAGAUCGUUAGCAUCUCGUCACUCAGCAGCUGGCUGUCGCUGGAGGCGGGCGAGCGCGCGGCCGCCGCGGCGCCGCCGCACGCCCGCCGCCUGCUGGCCGACGCCUACAUGUGCUUCUACCGCAGCCCCGACGUCGCCAUGUACCGCUAGCUAACUAUCCCCUGAUUCACCCUUGCCCCGCAUCAUCUUCGCCCACCCCUUCUUGCCAGAGGACCAGCCCCCCUCCUGCCAGCAGAUACGGAAGUCUAUAUGCUGCCACAGUACCAUCGAUGUUGAUCAGGUACUUGUACUGAAAUAGAGAUAUCCCAAAGCCAUUAGAUUAAGAUCAUAUAAUUGACAUUUCAGUUUGAUCAAUGGAAAAUAAAUGUCUCACAUCAAAAAAUUUAAAGAAUGAUAUAUGAGGCUGUUUGGGUCCAUAUUCAGCCUCUUUGUCUCUGAAGAAAAAGAAAUUAGUUAAUGAAACAUUGAACAAGUCAGGGUUGGCGCGAGCAAUGUCCACGAGGUCCAGCCGCUCGCGCCGCGAGUCUCGGCCUCUCCACACAGCCUUCGCUUCUCUCUCGGCCCACUGCCGCUCUAUGCUACCUUGCACCGACAAUGUGUCAAGAGUUACCCUGUAACAAUAACAAGUAUGAUUUCAAAAUUAAGCUAUUGCUUACUCACUAACUAAAAAGAUAUUUUUUCGGGCUCAAAAUCAUCAAGAGUCAAAAAAUAUUUUUACCUUCCCAUAUUUUCAAUCGUCGAUUCUGUUAUAUCAUAAGUGGGCAUCAAAAUAUCCAGGGUGUCUUCAGAGCCACACCAAGAAAAAAUUGGUAGAGGUUCUGUAUUUUUUCGUACCAAAGGCCAGUCUCCCAAAUUAACGACUAACUCCAUAUCUGGCAAAACAACUUUUCUGGCCAAAAACAUCAAUAUAUUAUCUGAGAACAUAUUGAAUCCCACAUGUUUUCCAUAGCAAUUUCUAUACACUUCAUUAUUUUUAACAGCAUAAUGGCAAAAACUAGUGCUUUCUGGAUUAUGGAAUCUAUCAAUUAUUUUCUGAACCAUUAUUGUCAUAUUUAUUUUAUUAUACAAUUUCAAAUCACUAUCUAUAGUAUUGUAAGACUUGGGACAACCAUAUUGUUCUAACCAGGUAUCAAAGUCUAAAGUGGGGCAGUUACAUUGAUCUGGAUAAAUUGGGCCUGAAACCAAAAAAUCUUACAGAUGACAGAUGAUACAGACUCCUAACUUGGUAAAACAUUUUAUUUUAGCAGCCAAUUUUUGCUUUUCAGUAGAACCAAAGCUUAUUUCAUACAUACCUUGAAAAGUGAAUGGAGAACCUUUGAUAUGUUUACUUUUAUAAUAAAGACUUAUAGUUAAAUCUAA